rnacentral:rRNA from 1 species
GCUUGUCUCAAAGAUUAAGCCAUGCAUGUCUAAGUAUAAACGACUUUAUACUGUGAAACUGCGAAUGGCUCAUUAUAUCAGUUAUAGUUUAUUUGAUGGUUCUUGCUACUUGGAUAACCGUAGUAAUUCUAGAGCUAAUACAUGCAUCAAACCCCGACUCCUGGAAGGGGUGUAUUUAUUAGAUGGAAACCAAUGCGGGGCAACCCGGAUUCUGGUGAUUCAUAAUAACUUUCGGAUCGAUCCUCGGAUCGAUGCAUCAUUCAAGUUUCUGCCCUAUCAGCUUUGGAUGGUAGGGUAUUGGCCUACCAUGGCUUUAACGGGUAACGGAGAAUUAGGGUUCGAUUCCGGAGAGGGAGCCUGAGAAAUGGCUACCACAUCCAAGGAAGGCAGC